CAAACGGCUCUUUUCAGAGCCACCACCGGUCUCAGAAGAGAGCUG
rfam:Myotis davidii contig72851, whole genome shotgun sequence.